AGUGAACGCUGGCGGCGUGCUUAACACAUGCAAGUCGAACGAGAACGGGAUAUAGCUUGCUAUAUUUGUCAGCUAAGUGGCGCACGGGUGAGUAAUGUAUAGAUAACCUGCCCUCUAGAAAGGAAUAACAGUUGGAAACGACUGCUAAUGCCCUAUAUGCCUUUAAUACAUAAGUAUGCAAGGGAAACGCUUUAGUGCUAGAGGAUGGGUCUGUAUGGUAUCAGCUUGUUGGUGAGGUAAUGGCUCACCAAGGCUAUGACGCCUAACUGGUUUGAGAGGACGAUCAGUCACACUGGAACUGAGACACGGUCCAGACUCCUACGGGAGGCAGCAGCGGGGAAUAUUGCACAAUGGACGAAAGUCUGAUGCAGCAACGCCGCGUGGAGGAUGACACAUUUCGGUGCGUAAACUCCUUUUAUAUAGGAAGAUAAUGACGGUACUAUAUGAAUAAGCACCGGCUAACUCCGUGCCAGCCGCCGCCGUAA
rnacentral:rRNA from 1 species